AAUUUUUUUUUAUAUAAAAAGGGAUAGAAUAGUCCUUUAAAAUUGAUAUAAGGGGUAAAAUUGGAAGGAAUCAAAAGAUAAUGGCAUAGUUGUAGAUGCAUUGAAGUGGUAAGGGUAAAAUUGGAAGGAAUCAAAAGUUAAUGGCAUAACGGUAGAUAUGUUGAAGUGUUAGGGGCAAAAUGGAAAUUUAAUAAUAUUAAACAAAGGGUGAAUAGUGUUUUGAUGUGAUUUAAUUGGGGGGUUUGCUGUGGCUUUUGGAUGGAAACCGAGAGAGAGUCACAGGGGAGUCUCAGACGGACAGAGAGGAAGAAAAAGAAGGAGAGAAAAGGAAAGGAAGAAAGGAAGAGGAAAGAAAAGGAAGAAAGGAAGAGGAAGGAGAUCCCGGUUGCAUUUCUAGCUGAAGGGAAAAACGUAGAUCUCCUUCCCCUCUACGCAAGGACCUCGAUUUCCAAAAAGAAAAAGG
rnacentral:lncRNA from 1 species